UACGUAGGGUGCGAGCAUUGUCCGGAAUUAUUGGGCGUAAAGAGCUUGUAGGCGGUCUGUCGCGUCUGCUGUGAAAAUCCGGGGCUCAACCCCGGACUUGCAGUGGGUACGGGCAGACUAGAGUGUGGUAGGGGAGACUGGAAUUCCUGGUGUAGCGGUGAAAUGCGCAGAUAUCAGGAGGAACACCGAUGGCGAAGGCAGGUCUCUGGGCCGAUACUGACGCUGAGGAGCGAAAGCGUGGGGAGCGAACAGG
rnacentral:rRNA from 1 species